rfam:Sarcophilus harrisii ctg7180002422116, whole genome shotgun sequence.
GGGUGACGGAUCGCAUCCUGCCAGCUGGCUAAUAUCGUAAUUAACAAAGUUGCAACCACAUCGGAGAAGUUUAAUCGAAAAAUUUGCCGGCAGUAUGAUGGCAUUGUCCCAGAGAUCACAAGCUAGGCAGCAACGACUUUCACUCUGGGAGAAGGGGAGAAGAGGGAGUCUGAACUUAGCCAGUCCAA